UACAGAGGUCUCAAGCGUUGUUCGGAUUCAUUGGGCGUAAAGGGUGUGUAGGUGGCGCCGUAAGUCGGGUGUGAAAUUUCGGAGCUUAACUCCGAAACUGCAUUCGAUACUGCGGUGCUUGAGGACUGGAGAGGAGACUGGAAUUCCUGGUGUAGCGGUGAAAUGCGCAGAUAUCAGGAGGAACACCGGUGGCGAAGGCGGAUCUCUGGGCCUUACCUGACGCUCAGGCGCGAAAGCUAGGGGAGCGAACAGG
rnacentral:rRNA from 1 species